rnacentral:snRNA from 1 species
CCAAGCAAGAGACUUUGCAUUGG